rnacentral:rRNA from 1 species
AACGAACGCUGGCGGCAGGCUUAACACAUGCAAGUCGAGCGCCUGUAGCAAUACAGGAGCGGCAGACGGGUGAGUAACACGUGGGAACGUGCCCAAAGGUACGGAACAACUCCGGGAAACUGGAGCUAAUACCGUAUGUGCCCGAGAGGGGAAAGAUUUAUCGCCUUUGGAUCGGCCCGCGUCUGAUUAGCUAGUUGGUGGGGUAAUGGCCUACCAAGGCGACGAUCAGUAGCUGGUCUGAGAGGAUGGCCAGCCACACUGGGACUGAGACACGGCCCAGACUCCUACGGGAGGCAGCAGUGGGGAAUAUUGGACAAUGGGCGAAAGCCUGAUCCAGCCAUGCCGCGUGAGUGAUGAAGGCCUUAGGGUUGUAAAGCUCUUUCGCCAGGGACGAUAAUGACGGUACCUGGAUAAGAAGCCCCGGCUAACUUCGUGCCAGCCGCCGCCGUAACAC